rnacentral:rRNA from 1 species
CGCGGCCUAUCAGCUUGUUGGUGGGGUAGUGGCCUACCAAGGCGACGACGGGUAGCCGGCCUGAGAGGGUGACCGGCCACACUGGGACUGAGACACGGCCCAGACUCCUACGGGAGGCAGCAGUGGGGAAUCUUGCGCAAUGGGCGAAAGCCUGACGCAGCAACGCCGCGUGCGGGAUGAAGGCUCUCGGGUUGUAAACCGCUUUCAGCAGGAACGAAAAUGACGGUACUUGCAGAAGAAGGUGCGGCCAACUAUGUGCCAGCAGCCGCGGUGAUACAUAGGCACCAAGCGUUGUCCGGAUUUAUUGGGCGUAAAGAGCUCGUAGGUGGUUUGUUGCGUCGGCUGUGAAAUCCCGAGGCUCAACCUCGGGUCUGCAGUCGAUACGAGCAAACUAGAGUGUUGCAGGGGAGACUGGAAUUCCUGGUGUAGCGGUGAAAUGCGCAGAUAUCAGGAGGAACACCGGUGGCGAAGGCGGGUCUCUGGGCAACAACUGACGCUGAGGAGCGAAAGCGUGGGGAGCGAACAGGAUUAGAUACCCUGGUAGUCCACGCCGUAAACGUUGGGCGCUAGGUGUGGGGCUCAUUCCACGAGUUCCGUGCCGCAGCUAACGCAUUAAGUGCCCCGCCUGGGGAGUACGG